rnacentral:rRNA from 1 species
UACGUAGGGGGCGAGCGUUGUCCGGAUUUAUUGGGCGUAAAGAGCGUGUAGGCGGUUCGGUAAGUCUGUCGUGAAAUCCUGAGGCUCAACCUCGGGCGUGCGAUGGAUACUGCCGGGCUAGAGGGUGGUAGAGGCGAGUGGAAUUCCCGGUGUAGCGGCGAAAUGCGCAGAUAUCGGGAGGAACACCAGUAGCGAAGGCGGCUCGCUGGGCCACACCUGACGCUGAGACGCGAAAGCUAGGGGAGCGAACAGG